rnacentral:rRNA from 1 species
UACAGAGGGUGCGAGCGUUGUUCGGAAUUAUUGGGCGUAAAGGGCGCGUAGGCGGUGCGGUAAGUCACCUGUGAAAUCUCCUGGCUCAACUGGGAGCUUGCAGGCGAAACUGCCGUGCUGGAGUGUGGGAGAGGUGCGUGGAAUUCCCGGUGUAGCGGUGAAAUGCGUAGAGAUCGGGAGGAACACCAGAGGCGAAGGCGGCGACCUGGACAGGUACUGACACUCAACUACGAAAGCGUGGGGAGCAAACAGG